GGAGGGUACAGCUCAAUUGGUAGAGUGUAUGCUUAGCACGCAGGAGGUUCUGGGUUCAAUCCCCAGCACCUCCU
rfam:Camelus ferus unplaced genomic scaffold scaffold976, whole genome shotgun sequence.